CCCCUAGACAUCCUGGGCCGCACGCGUUCUACAAUGAUGCAUUCAGAAAGUUUUCCUGGCCUGAAAAGGUUUCGGGUAAUCUCGAAAAUAUGCAUCGUGAUAGGGAUAGAUCUUUGCAAUUAUAGAUCUUGAACGAGGAAUACCUUGUAAGUGCAAGUCAUCAGCUUGUACUGAAUCGGUCCCUGCCUUUUGUACACACCGCCCGUCGCUUCUACUGACGAAUGCUCCGGUGAACCUUCUGGACUGUGUCGGGUCUCGGCCCGACCGGGAAGUUAUGUAAACCAAUGCAUUUGGAAGAAGAAGAAGUCGUANCA
rnacentral:rRNA from 1 species